rnacentral:rRNA from 1 species
AACGAACGCUGGCGGCAGGCCUAACACAUGCAAGUCGAACGCCGUAGCAAUACGGAGUGGCAGACGGGUGAGUAACACGUGGGAACAUACCCUUUGGUUCGGAAUAACUCAGGGAAACUUGAGCUAAUACCGGAUAAGCGCUUAGGCGGAAAGAUUUAUCGCCGAAGGAUUGGCCCGCGUCCGAUUAGCUAGUUGGUGAGGUAACGGCUCACCAAGGCGACGAUCGGUAGCUGGUCUGAGAGGAUGAUCAGCCACAUUGGGACUGAGACACGGCCCAAACUCCUACGGGAGGCAGCAGUGGGGAAUAUUGGACAAUGGGCGCAAGCCUGAUCCAGCCAUGCCGCGUGAGUGAUGAAGGCCCUAGGGUUGUAAAGCUCUUUUGUGUGGGAAGAUAAUGACUGUACCACAAGAAUAAGCCCCGGCUAACUUCGUGCCAGCAGCCGCCGUAAAAC